AUGAUAUAAAAAUCCAGUCCGUGAUAAAUAAAUUGUGGGCUGCAUAAUUUAAUUAAAAUACAAAGGACCGUGAAUUAAGCAAAACAAAUUAAAUCAUCUUCCGGUUGACUCGGUCACCAAGUCGAUAAUUCAAUUUAAUUAAAGAUUCUUAGAGAUUUUUUCUCCUCCGUAAUGAGGUAUUCCUCCUCCAUGAUCUGCAAAUGAAUACCAAAUAAAUUCAAUUUAAAUAAAAAAAGAAAGAAUUCGAAAUUUUCCCUCAACCCACGUUGAAAAAAAAAACGUCCCCUUUCUCCCCAAAUCUCUCUCACAUCCAAACCGCCCAUCCCUCUAUACUAUUCACUCCAAAUCAGUUUCUUUCUCCUAUCCGUCCUCUGCAUCAGGAAAACAAGCUUCAAUCUUUCAAGCUGAAAUCGAGAACCCAACUCAAGGAGGGAGUUAUCGCUUGUUUUCUCAAAUCCCAUUCAAGGUGAAUCAUCGCAAGUGAAACGUGAUACCAAGGGGAGGAAAGUGAUUGUGAAUUAAGCAGUCGAGGUUGAGCGGCGACGAGAGUACGGUGGUGUUGAGCAAGUCAAUUGGUAAAUGAACUGUUGUUUUUGAAUUAUGGGUGUCGUUGUGUCUUCACACAUGACGUCACUCUUACUCUUGGUCGUUUCCGCUGUGACAUUUCUUUCAAUUAUCGUUUAUUAGGCUUGCAACCUAAAUUAUUUGGAUAUUGAAUAUUUGGGAUUUUACCAAUUUAUGUCAAAUUCUUGGUCCUUUUAUUUGAAUAUUAAUUGUUGGUCAAGUUCGUUAUUAAAACCCUAGUCCUUUUCGUCUUUUUAUUAAAUUCUCUUAAUCACGAUCGCCCAUAUUUAUUAACCCUAAAGGGCGGUCGUGACAGUUUGGUAUCAGAGCCUCAGUUUCUUUCCGCUCUGGACCCAAGAGUCUUUUGGAGUCAAAAUCUAUCCUUGUAUUAAUUGGUUAAAGUGUUAAACCUCGAAGGCUCAA